rnacentral:misc_RNA from 1 species
AGGAGGGUUAUGGCAGGUGGAGGGUAGAAGAACAUUUUGCUUCUGCCUCUUAAUGUCAAUGUCACGGCAGUUUUGGUGUGACUUCACAGUUUUUCUACCUACUAGGUUUUUUUUUCUUUAUCCCAACAGCAGGGCAGGCUCGCAUGCACUGGCCCUGCAGGUAAGGGGUAUAUGGAAUUUUGGCUACCGAUCUUUGUACAGAUACCCCUCCCCUACUUUUUUUUUUCUGUUUCUUUUUGUCUUAACCUUGAUAUCAAAGUAGGAGUUGGCCGAAAUAAUACAACACCCCUUGGAAUUGAAUCACAAAUUUCUGUCUGAUUGAAUGUUGGAGCAUUCACUAGAUAGAUAUGUAACAACCAGAACGUGUUAUCUCUUGAAAAAGGAGAGGGAAAAUGCUGUAAGUAAAUGUUCUUAUAAUUUUUCAUACAGGUUUAUUGGAGGCUCAGAGUCUGUUGUUAUUUCCUUCUUGUUUCAUGUUCUUGGUGAUAUUUGGAAGCCUCAAACAGUAUAUAAAUUUGGAGAAGUAUGUGAGCAAUGUCCUUCCUGGUGGACUUUUCUUUUUGAUCUUUCACUUCUGAUGAAGUUCUUCAUCUCAAGUUAGCACUCUCUUGGUGCCCUUUUAAUAAUCUUUCUUCUUUUGCUUAUUUAAAAAAAGGAAAAACCCUGAAAACGUAACAGGAAAAUCUUGACAUAUGGUGUAGGGGGUAAACGUU